rnacentral:lncRNA from 1 species
AAAUUUUCUGUAAAUGUUAGCUAUAUUACAACGUGGUUUUGAUAAUUAUUUUACCAAAAAAAAAAAAAAAUCUGAGAAAGACAAAUUAUUGAAAAUAAAAAUUCCAUAACAUUAAAAAUUUAUAAACAUAGUUUAAACUUGAACAGCAAUUUAAAUGGAAAAAAUCCUAGCAAGUGCCGUAGAUAAAGCAAACUAGUUUGUGUUGAAGCAGAAAGCCUCCACAGCUUCGACUUGUUUCUUAAGGACUUCAUACUCAUCACAACUCUUUUGCAAGUCAGCUUCAAGCUCUUCCACUCUAUGGGUUAUUGUUCCCACUUAUGCAUUACCCAGUGGAUAACUAUUGUACUAUUCGGUGAGUACACGAUUGUACUAUUGUUUAAAGAAUUGGUGAGCACACGAUUCAAUGCAAACAUUGAUAAUGAGUUUCUAAUCUUUCAACCUAUACGAAUUUGAAGAUAUAUUACAAACAAGAAACCCAUACACAAUAAGAAUUAACGGUGACGGAAAAAAAAUUGGAACACCACUAGAUCCGGCAAGAGGAAAAGAUUCCAGAGAGGGUUU